GUGACAUUUUAUACACUUCUCUAAAACAAAUUUGGUAGCUCUGGUGAAAUUGACCCUGCUUUCUUUGUUCGUUUUAUUUUCUUAUGCUUAAGGGUCUUGUACUUUUGGUCAUCUUCCUGCCCCUGCUUCCUGAGUCCUGGGAUCACAGGAGGAUGCCCACACACCCCGAAAUACUAUCGUUUUGUAAGAUAGAUCGCCAGGCUGGGGGUGGGGGCACAGCCGGGUCCAUACGCAGUCCACUAGAUCCAAUCCUCAGCGUCACUAAAAUCCAAAGAUGCAGACGUUCACGCAAGCAGAUAGUCCGAAUGACCCCUGCAUCUAUUAAAAAUGUUUGCAUUUCGGGAUAAUUGUGCAUUUGCUGGCUGGGUCAGGUAGAGGAAAAUGAAGCGAGUGUUUGGCAUAUUGAAGGUAGUGCCUCGGCAGUUGCUCAAACUGGCCCUGAACUCCUGUCACUGGGCCGGUGGUGUGUUCCUCUGCCACAGUCUCCCAAGUACCUGGGAUUACAACCCUAUGCCACCAGACUGAGAUUAUUAAAUAAACUCAAAAUGGGGUAUUCGCUCACAAACCAGAUACGGAGAGCUCACAUAGAAUUUAGGAAGAGGCCUCUUGAGGGAGAUGUGUCCUGACUGCCAAAGGAGAGUACAAAGGUCGUUCAGAAAACUGCCACAGGCUGCACUUCGUGUGUGCUAGGUUUGUGGGAUUUAUAAUCCGCAGGUUUGAAAUAACUCACCUUCAUUAGGGACCUGAGCAGCUUCAAGAGAUUUUCACAAAGAACCCAGUGACCGAAGCCAAUACCCAUGAUACAAGAACAAGCAAACAAGGAUAACUCAGCUGUAGACUCUGCCCGCAGCGUUGCCUGUGUGACCUCACCACGGGAAAGCCAUCUCCUCCCCGUCCAAAGCACCAAGAAGACAGAAAUAUGGACUUGGACCAGGUGUCAGUGCAGGGAACUUUGCCCCAGGAGUGGACUGGUUUGGUAACUUAGCUCACAGCCGUGCUAAAUCAGCAUGAUUAGAGCGACCUUAAACAUGGCACCCCACCUGUGUCUUGCAUUCCAUUUCUACAUGUAUGUGUUUUCCUGUAUGUUCAUUAACAUACAAAAUAUGAACUCAUGUAAAGAUUGCUUUAGACUCUAUUAGAAUGAAUUUGCUUUACUGCAUACGAGCGAGGGUAAACAGGGCCUUAAUAAUAAAAGAAAUCCCCACAUUUCAA